rnacentral:rRNA from 1 species
UACAGAGGUCUCAAGCGUUGUUCGGAUUCAUUGGGCGUAAAGGGUGCGUAGGCGGCGCGGUAAGUCGGGUGUGAAAUCUCGGAGCUUAACUCCGAAACUGCAUUCGAUACUGCCGUGCUUGAGGACUGGAGAGGAGACUGGAAUUUACGGUGUAGCGGUGAAAUGCGUAGAGAUCAGCAGGAACACCCGUGGCGAAGGCGGCUUCCUGGGCCGCGCCUGACGCUGAGACGCGAAAGCGUGGGGAGCGAACGGG